rnacentral:rRNA from 1 species
UACGUAGGGAGCAAGCGUUAUCCGAAUUUAUUGGGUGUAAAGGGUGUGUAGGCGGUUUAUUAAGUCCAUGGUUUAAGUCCGAAGCUUAACUUCGGUUCGCCGUGGAAACUGAUAAUCUUGAGUAUGGUAGAGGCAAGUGGAAUUUCUAGUGUAGCGGUAAAAUGCGUAGAUAUUAGAAGGAACACCGGUGGCGAAGGCGACUUGCUGGGCCAUUACUGACGCUGAGACACGAAAGCGUGGGGAGCAAAUAGG